GUGAACGCUGGCGGUAGGCCUAACACAUGCAAGUCGAACGGCAGCACAGUAAGAGCUUGCUCUUACGGGUGGCGAGUGGCGGACGGGUGAGGAAUACAUCGGAAUCUACUUUUUCGUGGGGGAUAACGUAGGGAAACUUACGCUAAUACCGCAUACGACCUACGGGUGAAAGCAGUGGAUCUUCGGACCUUGCGCGUUUGAAUGAGCCGAUGUCGGAUUAGCUAGUUGGCGGGGUAAAGGCCCACCAAGGCGACGAUCCGUAGCUGGUCGGAGAGGAUGAUCAGCCACACUGGGACUGAGGCACGGUCCAGACUCCUACGGGAGGCAGCAGUGGGGAAUAUUGGACAAUGGGCGCAAGCCUGAUCCAGCCAUACCGCGGGGGUGAAGAAGGCCUUCGGGUUGUAAAGCCCUUUUGUUGGGAAAGAAAAGCAGCAGGUUAAUACCCCGCUGUUCUGACGGUACCCAAAGAAUAAGCACCGGCUAACUUCGUG
rnacentral:rRNA from 1 species